UCUCUUCCUCCUUCGCCAUCGCACACUCCCUUCUCCUCCCUCUUGCCGCUCUGUUCAUCGCAGCCCCGUCCCACGCGCGCCAGCCCCCCUUCCCCGAUCCCUCCUCCCUCUCCCCCUUUCGUCGCAAGCUCGCCCCCUUCCCCGACACCAUCCUCUUCCCUCUUCCCCCAAAUUUUCUUUGUUUUUCUUCCUCGAUACGAUCCUCCACCUCCCUUCUCCUUCCUCCUCCUCCCUCCUCCCUCUUCCCCCCGUUCAUCACAGUCCCCCGGACCCUCGCCUCGUCGCAACCCCCUUCGCAGACCUCUUCUCCCUCUUCCCCUCUUCCUCGCUGCUCCCAGACCACAGCCCCGUCUUCUGCCUCCUCCUCACUCCUCCUUUCUGUAUUUGUGACUGCUGUAAUUUUUAUGUUAAUUUUGAAUUAUAAUUUUUUACUAUAAUUAUUAAAAUGUCAUUUUUGAUGUUAAUCUUCUUUUUUUAGUUAUCUUUUUAUUAUAUUUGGAUAAUUUAGCACUUUAAUGUUUUCUAGAUAGUUAAAUCAAUGUAAUUUGAUAUUUACCGGUGAUGAUUUGAAUAUGAAAUGAGAUGAAACUCAUUUUGUCUAAUUUUUAUUUUAAUGCCUGGAUUUUUUGUUAAUUAUAUUUUUUAUUAUUUUAUAUUGGCUAGUUCUUUGCGGAGCUUGGGCGAGUGCCUUUAACAACACUGUCCUGAACAUUGGCACAGUAGCAUGGAACAAGUGAUCUUUUUUACAUACUCAUUUCCUGAUCAUUGUAACCCAUUAAGGAGGCCAUAAAAAAUAAUUUUGAUAUAUUAAUUUAGAUUAACGUAACUUGAUUGUAGGCAGAUACUGUGGUCAAAUAUGGUGCUCAGUGUUUGGAAUUUUAUUAUCAUACAGUAUCUCCAAUGAUGUUUUUUUUUUUACAAUUGACAAUUAAUUUCUGGUUCUUGGAUAUCAGCUGGUUCAUUGACCUCAUAUUGUUAGAUUAAAGGAAAAAAGUUACUAUAAUUUUAAGUUAGAUUAAAGUUUUUAAUUUGGAAAUAAAUUUAAAUUUACUAUAAUUUUAGCAAAAAUAAUCUUAUUUAGGAAAGAAUAGUGACACAUUUUUUUCGAGCUUUAAGGAAUGUCUUUGUGGUACGUUCUCAAUCAUCCUUAUAUUAAUAUUGAAUUGUUUAUAAACAAAUGAUUAGAAUUAUUAGAUUAUUUAUUUAAACAACUUAAAUUUUAAGAUUCAAAUGAAUCAAGUAAUUAAUCGAUGAAUUGUUAGAUUAUUUAUUUAAACAAUUUAAACUUUAAGAUUCAAAUGAAUCAAAUAAUCAAUCGAUGGAUAUACUUGGUUCUACCACCAAAAAGAACGACGCGAUUCCAUCGGCUGUGGAUUGGGCUCUUCAAUCCUCUAUAUCUAUAUAUAAAUUUGACAUGCUUGUUAGAUCCAAUCCUAAAAUUGAUCUCGCGACAUAGUAUAAUGGUACACCGUAUGUCAUUAAUGCAUUAAUGUAGUUUGGUCGUAGUUUGAUUGUCUUGAACAAAGUGUCCGAGGCAGUUCUUGAGGCAAGGAUGGUUGUGACAUAUAUUGGUAUGGAGCAUGGAGAAUGUCAGAACUUCUACUUUCACCACUGAUUGGUUGCUUCGUGUCAUAAGAUCGAUAAUCGCAUUGUUGCUCGUAGAAGAAUGACCAACCAUGAUUGUAGUACUGUUGGCUGUAAGAUUCUUCAUAAUAUGAUGGUUGUGCAUAUGAUGAGCUUCACGUUGUGUCUAUAUCUUUGUCGCAUCUGCUGAAAACCAUCCACUGUUUUCCCUUUUCCCUUCUAUGUAUAAACAUCACCGAUAUCUCGUCGAGCUUAAUGAUCUGAAUCCUGGGUGAUAUGUGUAAAAUAUUGCUCCUCAGUGCAUGCACUACCCUCAAAUUGUGUAGACGUGACCAUCUCUAACGUCAUUGCCAUUAUCGAUCAAGGUACUAUUUCUACGUCGCUGUCAUGUCUUUGGACGGAGCUGGUUGUUGAAUGCGAUUGAGAAGGUGUCUCGUCGUCCAACUCUAUUCUUUUCAACGGGAUAUAGCGUGCUUCACAGUUUCUGAAGCUACCAACUGCAAUAGAUAAAUAGUGGAAGGUAGUGUCAGUGCGCAUGUGUCACAUCAAGACAUUAUUUCAGUGGUGGAGAAUUGCUUGGAUUUGAGCAUGACAACAAGUAAAUGAUCAAAGGUACUCAUAAUCAACACUCAAACACCAUUUAGAGACUUAAAUCUGGAAGAAAUGGUUUAUGGGAACUGAUGGUAGGUGGAUUUAUGUGAAGAAUUUUAUCUGAUACAGAUGAUCAGCUUGAAGUUUUCAACUUCCUUUUGGUUGGAAGCAGAUACAGAAAAUAUAUUUAGUUUGGAUGCGCUUGAUCUGAGGUAGAAGAGGAGUUGGACUUAGAGAGGGCAGCGAUUAGAUUAGUUUUUUUGUAUUUUUCUGCAAACAGCACACGAUACUGCUUCAAAAGAUGAUGUUUUUGGUGCAAAAAAGGCUCUUUUGCCUUUUCCCAUGUAACAAUUCCUCCAUUUAUCUUUCCUCCUAUCAACUUUGCAGCCUGUUUAACUUUUCCACUGCCAAAUGCGAUAGUUCAGAGAACAGUUCCAACUUUAUAGUGGUCAACCCCCUUCAAUCAUGUGAACUUUCCUCAGAAAAGGCUGCAAAAACAGCCAAGUAUCACACCUGUCGUAAAAAUUCUUCGAGUCUUUACAUUGAGUUCUUUAAGCAGAAGGGUUGGAGCGAUGCACAAGUCAUGAAACUUACCCAGAAGGCACCCAAGGUGCUGCGUGCUAACGUAGAGACUACACUGAAGCCCAGGAUGAGAUCUUUGCAGGACAUGGGAUUUUCUGUUACUGAAAUAGUUCAGUUGGUUUCAAAAUGUCCGGCUAUACUCUUUCAGAAUAUCCAACCGAAUUUGAACUUCUUGAAGUCACUACUUGGUUCUAAUGAGAGGUUACUGAAAGCCUGCAGUAGGAACCGAUUUCUUCUUAUUUCUAGCUUAGCUCGGAAGAUAGAGCCCAAUAUAUCUCUCUUAAGGGAAUGUGGCAUCAGUGAUGAAUGCAUCGCGGGUAUGGUGGUGUUGAAUCCGUGUUUUGUUGUUCGAAAAAACAAAUUUAUUAGGGAAGUUAUCGAUUAUGUUGAGGAGUUGGGUGUGCCACGGGAUUGUGGAAUGUUCCGUCAUGCACUUCAUUCUGUCAUGAACAUGAGCAGAUCUAAGUGUGAUGCUACCUUUGCAACCUUUAAGAGCUUUGGUUGGUCCCAGCCAGACAUCGUUGCCAUACUCAGGAAGAAACCAACUGUUUGGACACUCUCAAAGAAUAACAUAUCUGACAAGAUGACAUUCCUGAUGAAGGAAGCUGGUUGUGAGCUGCAGUAUAUCAUUCGCCAUUCUGGUAUUCUUUCAUAUAGCUUGGAGAAGAGGUUGAGACCUCGUCAUGAUGUUAUAAAUUUUCUUGAGCAGAAUAAAUUGCUAGAUAAAGGACGAGGCCUUGCAUAUGUCAUGCGACUAACUGAGCAGAAGUUCAUGAACAAAUUUCUUUUCCCGUACAAGGAGAAAUUUACUGCUCUCUAUAAUUCCUAUGUUGCUGCUGUGCAGGGAAAGCACCAUGUUGUCGCUGAAAAUUAGGAUUGCAAGUGCUUCCCCGAGACAAUGUGUAAACCUGUUGCAUCCUGACUGCACUAUUUAAUCAUCUUAAAUUUGUGACAAUUUAUAUUCUUCAGGAGUUUCGUCUGAGUGGAACAUCCCUGUUGAUUUUGAUAUUUUAUUUCUAAUUAUCUUUUGAUACCUUUUAUUUUA